rnacentral:rRNA from 1 species
UGAACGCUGGCGGCAUGCUUUACACAUGCAAGUCGAACGGCAGCGCGGGGCAACCUGGCGGCGAGUGGCGAACGGGUGAGUAAUACAUCGGAACGUACCCAGAAGUGGGGGAUAACGUAGCGAAAGUUACGCUAAUACCGCAUACGUUCUACGGAAGAAAGUGGGGGACCUUCGGGCCUCAUGCUUUUGGAGCGGCCGAUGUCUGAUUAGCUAGUUGGUGAGGUAAAGGCUCACCAAGGCGACGAUCAGUAGCUGGUCUGAGAGGACGACCAGCCACACUGGGACUGAGACACGGCCCAGACUCCUACGGGAGGCAGCAGUGGGGAAUUUUGGACAAAGGGCGCAAGCCUGAUCCAGCAAUGCCGCGUGAGUGAAGAAGGCCUUCGGGUUGUAAAGCUCUUUUGUCAGGGAAGAAACGGCUGAGGAUAAUACCUUCGGCUAAUGACGGUACCUGAAGAAUAAGCACCGGCUAACUACGUG